AGAAUCAACGCUGGCGGCGCGCUUAACACAUGCAAGUCGAACGAGAAAGUCCGCAAGGAUGAGUAAAGUGGCGUACGGGUGAGUAACACGUGGAUAAUCCACCUCUUAGUGGGGAAUAACUCUGGGAAACCGAAGCUAAUACCGCAUAAGCCUGAGAAGGGAAAGCGAGAAAUUGCGCUGAGAGAGGAGUCCGCGGCCGAUUAGCUAGUUGGUAGGGUAAAAGCCUACCAAGGCGAUGAUCGGUAGCCGGCCUGAGAGGGCACACGGCCACACUGGCACUGAAACACGGGCCAGACUCCUACGGGAGGCAGCAGUGGGGAAUCUUGCACAAUGGGGCAACCCUGAUGCAGCGACGCCGCGUGAACGAUGAAGCCCUUCGGGGUGUAAAGUUCUUUCGGCAGGAACGAUAAGUGACGGUACCUGAAGAAGAAGCUGCGGCUAACUACGUGCCAGCAGCCGC
rnacentral:rRNA from 1 species